AUACAAAGGUGGGCUUUUCGCUCAAAUGGAGAAGAACCGAGAAAAAGGGAAGAAAAGAGAAAGAAUUGAAGAAAAAAAAGUGAGAAAAGAAGACGAGAAGAAAGAAAGAAAAGAAGGGAGAGAGAUGAAACCGAGAAGAGAGAGAGAGUGAUGAAGAUGGCUGGAAAAGUGGCCGCCAGCGGGCAAUCUCCGGUGACCAGAAGGCGUAGAGGAGGAUUAAGCAUGUGGGAGGGAGACCUUUGCAUGGAGAGGUCAUUGGAUUUCGGAUAAAGGAAGACAAGCGCAUACAUCAUUACAAGAUUCCGACCGCUUCUUUGGAUCAAGAAUUUAGCUUCAAAAGGUGGGCUGUUCACCCAAAUGGAGAAGAAUCAAGAAGAAAGAAAAGAGAGGAGAGGAAGAAGAAAAGAAGGGAGAGAGAUGAAACCAAGAAGAGAGAGAGAAGAGUAGAGAGCGAUGAAGGUUGCUGGAAAAGUGGCCGUCGGCAGGCAAACUCCAGUGAUGGGAAGGAGUAGAGGAGGAUUAAGCAUGUGGGAGGGAGACCUUUGCAUGGAGAGGUCAUUGGAUUUCGGAUGAAGGAAGACAAGCGCAGACAUGGUUAGAGGAUUCUAAUCCUUUCUUUGGAUCAAGAAUUUAGCUUCAAAAGGUGAGUGGAUAAACCAAAAUUUCCUUGCUAAAAGUCUGAUUUUCUGUUGUAUGUAAUGCGUGGAAGCUUAUUGUGGCAUGAUAUGUGUUUUGGUAUGAAAAAAAAAAUGCAUUCUUGCUUGGUGGGUACUGUAGUAGAUUAUGUUUGUAACUUAAUGAUGAAUUUAUGUGUUUAUAUAUUUUGGAUAUUGAAUAAUGAGCUUAAUUUGGAAUUGAUUGUGAUUGGAAACAAAUCCAGCCAAUUGGUGGGGCUGGUUUGCUUGAUUUACAAUUGGGAGUGUUAGAGAUAUUAAAUGAAAAUGGUAUGGAUUGCUUUAGGAGGCUGUGGAUUAUGUUGAUGAAUUGGCUUGGCCCAAAUUUAAGAAGUUGUGAGUAAUGAGUGUUUUGGGUUGGCUUUAUAUUUGUGAAAUAUUGGGUUUAUUUAUAUUAAAUUUCUUUGCUUUGGGUUAGUAUUUGAUUGUAAUUGGUGGAAGGAUUCCCAAGGGGGCAACUUGUCAGUUUUGCGAUUAUUGGAGUACAGGAAAGGGGUUAAUUGUAAUGUUGAGGUGUAAAUUGAUAUUUUAUAAGUUGGUAUACUUUUGGAAUAUUAUACUCGUAUUUACAUGAUGGUUUUAUUAAGAA